rnacentral:rRNA from 1 species
GUGAGGGAUCUUCGUCAAUGGGGGCAACCCUGAACGAGCAACGCCGCGUGUGGGAAGACGGCCUUCGGGUUGUAAACCACUUUUCUCGGUGACGAGACAGGACGGUACCCGAGGAAGAAGUCUCGGCUAACUACGUGCCAGCAGCCGCGGUAAUACGUAGGAGACGAGCGUUGUCCGGAGUUACUGGGCGUAAAGGGUGCGCAGGCGGCCUAGCGCGUCGCGAGUGAAAUCUCCUGGCUCAACUGGGAGUGUGGUCGCGAGACGGCUGGGCUUGAGGCUCGGUGAGGGGCGUGGAAUUCCGGGUGGAGCGGUGAAAUGCGUAGAGAUCCGGAGGAACACCGACGGCGUAGGCAGCGCCCUAGACGAGACCUGACGCUCAGGCACGAAAGCGCGGGGAGCGAACAGGAUUAGAUACCCCGGUAGUCC